rnacentral:misc_RNA from 1 species
GUUUUCACAAUCUAUUGUUAAGGUCACUAGUGCGUUGACAGUAGGAGUCGUGCGAGGCUACCAGCAAGUAACUGCGGAAAAUGAUGUUUCUGGGGCUGCAAAUUCUGGGCUUUUUGACCAGGUUUUAGAUAAACUGUUUACUGAUGCAGGGUCUGGUUUUGCUUCUGUAAUUGUUGGGAGCUUCGCGAGGAAUUUGGUUCUUGCUUAUUGUUCGGACAAAAAAG